rnacentral:rRNA from 1 species
CCUACGGGGGGCAGCAGUGGGGAAUAUUGGACAAUGGGGGCAACCCUGAUCCAGCCAUGCCGCGUGUGUGAAGAAGGCCCUCGGGUUGUAAAGCACUUUCAGUGAGGAAGAACGCCUGGUGGUUAAUACCCAUCAGGAAAGACAUCACUCACAGAAGAAGCACCGGCUAACUCCGUGCCAGCAGCCGCGGUAAUACGGAGGGUGCGAGCGUUAAUCGGAAUUACUGGGCGUAAAGCGCGCGUAGGUGGCUUGAUAAGCCGGUUGUGAAAGCCCCGGGCUCAACCUGGGAACGGCAUCCGGAACUGUCAAGCUAGAGUGCAGGAGAGAAAGGUAGAAUUCCCGGUGUAGCGGUGAAAUGCGUAGAGAUCGGGAGGAAUACCAGUGGCGAAGGCGGCCUUCUGGACUGACACUGACACUGAGGUGCGAAAGCGUGGGUAGCAAACAGGAUUAGAUACCCCUGUAGUC